rnacentral:snRNA from 1 species
ACGGUGGUCUUAGGGUGG